ACUGCAAAUAUCUCCAUCUUUAUUAUCUUUGCCAUGUGUUUUUAUAAAUAAUUGAUAAUAUCAAAUAUAUUUAUAAUUUUAGAAGUAAAAAUAAUAAUAUAUUUUUAUUUUUAUUUCUGAAAAUAGGAAAAACACUGUAUUUUGUAUAAAUGCAAAUUGUUGAGUUUCAAUUAUCUAUGUUCUAGAUAGUCGCCGCAACGUCCAUUUUGGAGGCCAUGGUCAUUCAUCUCUAAGAUUGGUGAUUGGCGGCUAUUAAGAGCUGUGCAGCUUUGUGUAGCGCAAAACACGCAUUGUGCAUUUUAAGCCAUUUUGUUUUUUGAUUUUAUUGGGUGCAUCUGUACUCGUCAGGUAUAAUUUACCCGCUUUAGCAAAAAAAUGAUUUAUAAAACUGUAAGUGAGGUAACUGUGGAAAGAUCACUCAAACA
rnacentral:lncRNA from 1 species